rnacentral:rRNA from 1 species
CCGUUAACGAACGAGACCUGGACCUGCUAAAUAGUUCGGAAAAAGCGUCAGCUUUUUUACGUGACUUCUUAGAGGGACUAUCGGUGCUUUAGCCGAAGGAAGUUCCGGGUAAUAACAGGUCUGUGAUGCCCUUAGAUGUUCUGGGCUGCACGCGCGCUACACUGAUGGUUGCAUCGAGCUUACAACCUUGAUCGGAAGACCUGGGUAAUCUUUUUAACAACCAUCGUGCUGGGGAUAGAUUAUUGUAAUUAUUAAUCUUCAACGAGGAAUUCCCAGUAAACGCAAGUCAACAACUUGCAUUGAUUACGUCCCUGCCCUUUGUACACACCGCCCGUCGCUAAUACCGAUUGAAUGGAUA